GUAACAACGAAGCGUCAAGGUGUUUUUCCGGUGCUCGACAACGUUUUCGAGCAGUGUGGAAGGUUCCUUGUUGCCGGAGGAGGGGGAGAUUGUUGUGGAAUGUAAACUACUCUGCAAUAAACUGCUAUUGUGAACUAAGAGGUCAAAAUUAUGACGUCAGGAUCACUAUUGUCUCAAGCUGCACUAAAAUGGACUUAGUCUCUUCCUAGGUUUGGUGUACGAGAUGUUGAUUGGAACAGUUUUAAGGCAAUGUCCCCGAAACUUAUUAAGAGCUGCUGUGAUCGUUGUUGCUUUUAUUCUGCCGUAGUUUUAAAGAGGUGAGAUUGGAGCCUGGUGUUGAUGCUUAACCCAUCAGUUUUCUUCCUUUGAUGGUACAAAGUUGUAAUUGGU